rnacentral:rRNA from 1 species
GACGAACGCUGGCGGCGUGCUUAACACAUGCAAGUCGAACGGAAAGUCCCUGCUUUUGUGGGGUGCUCGAGUGGCGAACGGGUGAGUAACACGUGAGUAACCUGCCCUUGACUUUGGGAUAACUUCAGGAAACUGGGGCUAAUACCGGAUAGGAGCUCCUGCUGCAUGGUGGGGGUUGGAAAGUUUCGGCGGUUGGGGAUGGACUCGCGGCGUAUCAGCUUGUUGGUUGGGUAGUGGCUUACCAAGGCUUUGACGGGUAGCCGGCCUGAGAGGGUGACCGGCCACAUUGGGACUGAGAUACGGCCCAGACUCCUACGGGAGGCAGCAGUGGGGAAUAUUGCACAAUGGGCGGAAGCCUGAUGCAGCAACGCCGCGUGCGGGAUGACGGCCUUCGGGUUGGAAACCGCUUUCGCCUGUGACGAAGCGUGAGUGACGGUAAUGGGUAAAGAAGCACCGGCUAACUACGUG